UGAGGGAUGACGGCCUAUCGGGUUGUAAACCUCUUUUAGCAGGGAAGAAGCGAAAGUGACGGUACCUGCAGAAAAAGCGCCGGCUAACUACGUGCCAGCAGCCGCGGUAAUACGUAGGGCGCAAGCGUUAUCCGGAAUUAUUGGGCGUAAAGAGCUCGUAGGCGGUUUGUCGCGUCUGCUGUGAAAUCCCGAGGCUCAACCUCGGGCCUGCAGUGGGUACGGGCAGACUAGAGUGCGGUAGGGGAGAUUGGAAUUCCUGGUGUAGCGGUGGAAUGCGCAGAUAUCAGGAGGAACACCGAUGGCGAAGGCAGAUCUCUGGGCCGUAACUGACGCUGAGGAGCGAAAGGGUGGGGAGCAAACAGGCUUAGAUACCCUGGUAGUCCACCCCGUAAACGUUGGGAACUAGUUGUGGGGACCAUUCCACGGUUUCCGUGACGCAGCUAACGCAUUAAGUUCCCCGCCUGGGGAGUACGGCCGCAAGGCUAAAACUCAAAGGAAUUGACGGGGACCCGCACAAGCGGCGGAGCAUGCGGAUUAAUUCGAUGCAACGCGAAGAACCUUACCAAGGCUUGACAUAUACGAGAACGGGCCAGAAAUGGUCAACUCUUUG
rnacentral:rRNA from 1 species